UACGAAGGGGGCUAGCGUUGUUCGGAAUUACUGGGCGUAAAGCGCACGCAGGUGGCUGAGUCAGUCGAUUGUGAAAGCCCUGGGCUUAACCUGGGAAUUGCAGUCGAUACUACUUAGCUAGAGUAUGGGAGAGGGCAGUGGAAUUCCCGGUGUAGCGGUGAAAUGCGUAGAUAAUCGGGGAGGAACAUCAGUGGCGAAGGCGGCUGCCUGGCCCAAUACUGACACUCAGGUGCGACAGCGUGGGGAGCAACAGG
rnacentral:rRNA from 1 species